rnacentral:rRNA from 1 species
CGGCGGACGGGUGAGUAAUGCCUAGGAAUCUGCCUGGUAGUGGGGGACAACGUUUCGAAAGGAACGCUAAUACCGCAUACGUCCUACGGGAGAAAGCAGGGGACCUUCGGGCCUUGCGCUAUCAGAUGAGCCUAGGUCGGAUUAGCUAGUUGGUGAGGUAAUGGCUCACCAAGGCGACGAUCCGUAACUGGUCUGAGAGGAUGAUCAGCCACACUGGAACUGAGACACGGUCCAGACUCCUACGGGAGGCAGCAGGU